rnacentral:rRNA from 1 species
UACGGAGGGAGCUAGCGUUGUUCGGAAAUACUGGGCGUAAAGCGCACGUAGGCGGCGCAGCAAGUCAGGUGUGAAAUCUCGGGGCUUAACUCCGAAACUGCAUUUGAUACUGUGGUGCUUGAGGACUGGAGAGGAGACUGGAAUUCACGGUGUAGCAGUGAAAUGCGUAGAGAUCGGGAAGAACAUCUGUGGCGAAGGCGGCCAGCUGGGCUGUUGCUGACGCUGAUGCGCGACAGCGUGGGGAGCAAACAGG